UUCAUUUCCAUAACUACUCUGCUUUAUUCAGAAAAAACCGUCCGUCAAUUAUUUACGUGGAACGUGAUGGAAAUAACACGUUGUCAAUCGUUUCAACGAACGACGCAAUUGUGUGUAUGGUGUCUGCCAAGGUCAUACGAUUGGAACAUCACUAUUUCAAUUUGACGAGCAUAUUUCAAUGCCUGUUAACGAUUGAAAUGGUUAAGAGUCCAGUUAUAUCGCGGCGCGAUCGUCGAGGUACGAGUGUCUGGCUUGUUGCAUGACGCAUUUGAGGUUAGGCGCACCUGCUCCAAGGAUUGGAGCGACGUGUUAGGUUAGAAAGUGCGAGUCAGACAAGGACGACCACUCGGCGGGAAUUUGGCGGUCGAAUUUGAAAUCGUGCGCCGGAUUUAAAUGUGUUCGACUUGUAAUUCCAUUUAUUAUUCACUGGCGCUUUACACACAUGGUUUUAAACCUUUGCGGUCCGAAGUGCUCUUGGUUUCUCACUUUGAGGUUCACGUCGACGUAGAGGUUGCAAGGAAAUAGAAUGUCGAGUCUGACUCGAGAUAGGACUGCUAAGGGUUAAACCUUUGCGGACGAGUGUCGACGUUUCGGCAAAAUGAAAUUUUCAUGUUCCAAAAACUCGCAAGCAAAUGUUUUAGUUACUCGAACAAGAGGGUUAAACGGCUCCUAAGGUUUUUCUCAGGCGACCCCGUUACAUUUUUUGCUAUUUCAUUGUUUCCUUGUCGUAGCUCAUAUUUAG